rnacentral:rRNA from 1 species
CCUACGGGUGGCAGCAGUGAGGAAUAUUGGUCAAUGGGCGUAAGCCUGAACCAGCCAAGCCGCGUGAGGGAUGAAGGUUCUAUGGGUCGUAAACCUCUUUUAUAAGGGAAUAAAGUGCGGGACGAGUCCUAUUCUGCAUGUACCUUAUGAAUAAGGAUCGGCUAACUCCGUGCCAGCAGCCGCGGUAAUACGGAGGAUCCGAGCGUUAUCCGGAUUUAUUGGGUUUAAAGGGUGCGUAGGCGGCCUUUUAAGUCAGCGGUGAAAGUCGGUGGCUCAACCAUAGAAUAGCCGUUGAAACUGGGGGGCUUGAGUAUGUGUGAGGCAGGCGGAAUGCGUGGUGUAGCGGUGAAAUGCUUAGAUAUCGCGCAGAACCCCGAUUGCGAAGGCAGCCUGUCAAGGCAUGACUGACGCUGAUGCACGAAAGCGUGGGGAUCAAACAGGAUUAGAUACCCGUGUAGUC